GCUGCUGUGGCUCAGCGGUAGAGCACGUCCUUGGUAAGGACGGGGUCAUGGGUUCGAUUCCCAUCAGCAGCU
rnacentral:tRNA from 1 species